GAGCAGGCUUUGUUGAGUGAAGCUGAUUGGUUGCAGGAGCAGCAACAGUUCCAGAAUCAAGUCGUGACACCCACCUCCUCAAGGUUUAGUUAAAUAUAUCUUGUGGUGAAAAUGCCCGGAGCAGGAAGGCAAAGCAUCAUGAAGAGGAUAUUCGGAGCUCUGCUGGGGCUCUUGAGUGCCCAGGUUUGCUGUGUGAGAGGAAUACAAGUGGAGCAGAGUCCUCCAGACCUGAUUCUCCAGGAGGGAGCCAAUUCCACGCUGCGGUGCAAUUAUUCUGCCACUGUGAGCAGUUUGCAGUGGUUUCACCAAAACCCUUGGGGACAGCUCAUCAACCUGUUUUACAUCACCUCAGGGACAAAACAGAAUGGAAGAUUAAGUGCCACAACUGUCACUAAGGAACGCUACAGCUUAUUGCACAUUUCCUCCUCCCAGACCACAGACUCAGGCAUUUAUUUCUGUGCUGUGGAGCCACAGUGCUCCCCAGGCACCUGCAGCCUGUACACAAACCCUCAGCUGGGCUCAGUUGCUCUACCAGCAACAACCAUAUCACGAGGCCACCUCAGCAGCAUUUCCAUAGCUUAAUAUUCCUUUUGUACAUAGGUAGAGUUUUAACCACAGAUUCUUUUUGGCUCUACAGGUUUGAGACUUUGGUCUUUAUUUUCCCUUUUCAAUGCACACCUCUUCCUGCCCUAUAAAUAUGUAGCUUGGAAGGAGUAGAGUAGCUGAUAAGAGGACAGAAUCAAAAUAAAUAUUUAAGUGACAGUAUGCAGGACUCCAAAAGGGUAAAAAGUAAAAAGAAUAAAAAGAAAAGAAACAC